rnacentral:rRNA from 1 species
CGGUGGAGCAUGUGGUUUAAUUCGAAGCAACGCGAAGAACCUUUACCAGGUUCUUGACAUCCCGAUGCUUAUUUCUAGAGAUAGAAAGUUACUUCGGUACAUCGGUGACAGGUGGUGCAUGGUUGUCGUCAGCUCGUGUCGUGAGAUGUUGGGUUAAGUCCCGCAACGAGCGCAACCCCUAUUGUUAGUUGCCAUCAUUCAGUUGGGCACUCUAGCGAGACUGCCGGUAAUAAACCGGAGGAAGUGGGAUGACGUCAAAUCAUCAUGCCCCUUAUGACCUGGGCUACACACGUGCUACAAUGGUUGGUACAACGAGUUGCGAGUCGGUGACGGCGAGCUAAUCUCUUAAAGCCAAUCUCAGUUCGGAUUGUAGGCUGCAACUCGCCUACAUGAAGUCGGAAUCGCUAGUAAUCGCGGAUCAGCACGCCGCGGUGAAUACGUUCCCGGGCCUU